GAAUAGAUAAUCACGGUUUCCAAAAUUUAAUUAUUUAUUCGGUAACUAUCGGGAAGAUUCGGCAGUGAUCGCGUCAAUGUCGAAGUCACGACACACAGAUACAAAGAAAAUCAACAUCGAUGGUCGUGAACACCCUGACCUAUUCGUUUCAUGAGCAUAGGCAGACCGAAAUCAGACAGCGACGCGACGGUUGAAAAAUUAUGAUAGCAUCUUCGUCGUGGUCAUCGUUCUCUUUCUUUUUCACGUCACUACUACGCUACUGUGAUUGGCCGGCAAAUGGUGGACGAACCGUUGUGUUGUUCAUUUCGAUGACGCGUAUAUUGUGUGCGUAAUCGUGUGCAUCGACUGAAAACCAUUUGGCAAAUUUUCUGGCACGACAUCUUGGCCAUUAUCCUCUUACUCGUAAUUUUUUCAUCGUUUCGUGCAUCAUAUAUAUAUUAUUGUAUUAAACGAUUUCCUUGUGAAAUGAUUGUGUACUUUGAUUCGCGCAGUAUCGAUUCGUAGACGGUUGGUUUACAACUGGCAUGCAUGCUGUAUAGCACUCACAGCACCCACGCUGACAGUAAAGCUCUGACUGCAGAAGCGUAUGUUGUUAUCCCAGUGCUCAGUGAUAGAUACUUAGCUACGUACACGGAAGAGAAACGCUAUCAACAUCUCGAUGCAUUGAAAAAGAUGCUAACGCCGGGACGAUCGGGACCAAUCAGUCCCGAGGAGAUCGGCAAUGGACCUGAUACAAAAGAUCCUGGUGCAACAGGAAAUGGUUCAGGGACGUAUGCGCGUGGUACGCGCACCCCAACCACAUAUGAGACUGAUGAAAGGGCAAAAGAGUUCCUUUCGACCGGAAGAACUGGAAGGAGAAAUGCUCUAACGGAAAUCUUGAGUCACCAUGCAGAAACAGGAAUAUUGGAUUUGCCAGAUCGUUUUGAAGAGCUCACCAUGGAAACAGGUUAGCCAUAUGAGCAGUAAAUUAUCUUGAUUGUUUCAUUGAUCCACGAAUAUGACAAACAGGAAAAUAAGAAAUACAAGGUCAAACGAAUAACAGCAAUCAAGAUUCAAAUUCACCGGGUACUUCAAAACAGCAAGGUUGACGCGGUUCUGGAUUCGUUUUUAUAAAUUUAUUGGUUGUAAUGUAAACACGCAAUAAGGAAAGUGUCGUUUGAAGUUCUAUAGGAAAUUGCUGAAAUAUCAUGAAGUUGUUUUUCUCUUGUGUCAAAUCAAACUAGAUCUCAAACUUUACGCACAGUUUAUUUCGUCGCUAUAUUGGUGCAUACUCGGUGAGGUCGCUUGAAAGCCAGUCAUAUAAGUAUGCAAAUACAUGAAUAUUGACAUGAAUAUGUUAUUGAAAUUGAAGCUUAUUGUUUGUAAUGAUUACUAGUAUGACGCAAUAUCAAGUGGUUUGAUUAUUAAAAGAAUAAUAUCGAAGAUUUAGUAAUCUUUAUAUCGUUAAUAAUUAUUAGUACUCGAUUAAUAUUUCGAGUUCUAUUAAUACUCAAAAUUCGUACAAUACAAAAUUAUUUGGUGUCUCGCGAAAAAAAUUUUUCACAUUGAUGUGAAAUCUAUAUGAUAGUCAUAGUAUGUUUAUACGUAUGCAUAUCCAUGGGUGUCUUGUAAAUUGCGGAUAUGGUUAACAGGGAUAAUUGUAUAAUUAUUCUAUACAUAAUUCUUUACACGUUGUGCGUAUGCUGCGUUUAGGAUUUAAUAAAAAUAUACAAUAAGUUUUUAAAAGGCAGGAGGGAGCACUUUUUUAAAUAAUAUAUGUACCAUUUAUGUCGGUAAUUUUUCUUGAUCUUUUUUUGUCAUUAGCAAUGAUUUAUCUUUUCAAAUACAUUUUUUUAAAUUCAUACUUAAUAUAUUCAAUUUUUUUGCUAUUAAACUUUUCGCAUCCAUAAAUGAAAUAUUUCUUGACUUUAUAUUAUUUAUAUUAUAUCAUGUAUAAGAUAUUUCACGUAUCUUUUUCUUUCUUUUUUUUUUUUUUAGAACGCAAAAAAUCUCAUUAUAAAUUCAGAAUCUCCACUAUAACCUUUAAGUAAUCUUGGCUUUUAUAAUCUUUAAAUGAUUCUCCACUAUGACUUUUAAAUAAUCUUAACUCUCUAAUCAUGAUCUUCAAGUGACCUUGAUCCUCCAUCAUGAUCUUCAAAUAAUUUUGACUUAACGAAAAGAUUAGUAUUAAAUAAAAACCAUUAGAUAUUUUUGAGAACAAAUUUUUAUAUAUAAAAUUUGUCUCUUGAACGUAUAAAAAUUGAAAGAAAAAUACGCAGUAUAUCUCAUCUGAGAUGUCGUAUAAAUCAUAUUGUAUCGCUAGAUAUUUGUGGAUGUGAAAAGGUUAAAAGAAUUUUAUAAAGAAUAGAUCAAAUAUAUAUAUAUAAUAGUAUGAUAGUACUAUGUGUAAUGAAUUAUAUUGAGUUUUAUAAUAAUAGUACGAUAUUCCAGCCAAAGAUCAAAAAUCUUGUCGAUUUUUGAUUACUAUACUGUCUAACAUUGGCCUAAUAUUAUUUAAUCUUAUUUAAAACUAAUAUUUUUAUUCUCCGUUAUUAAUUAAUAAAUAAUUAAUAAAUAUUAAUAAAUUCCAUAUGUUUUAUGUAAGUGUUACAUUUAGUUUAUUUAAAAAGAAACAUUUAUCGAAUUAAGUAUUUAUUAUAGAAAUUUUAAUUGUAAUUUUGUUCACAUUAACAAAAAAAUAUUACUAAAUUAUUAAAAUUUUCGUAAUCUUGCCAAUU